rnacentral:rRNA from 1 species
UACGGGGGGAGCAAGCGUUGUUCGGAUUUACUGGGCGUAAAGGGCGCGUAGGCGGCCACCGCAAGUCGACUGUGAAAUCUCCGGGCUUAACCCGGAAAGGUCAGCCGAUACUGCGGGGCUAGAGUGCAGAAGGGGCAACUGGAAUUCUCGGUGUAGCGGUGAAAUGCGUAGAUAUCAGGAGGAACACCGGUGGCGAAGGCGGGUUGCUGGGCCGACACUGACGCUGAGGCGCGAAAGCCAGGGGAGCGAACGGG